GAUGAACGCUAGCUACAGGCUUAACACAUGCAAGUCGAGGGGCAGCAUGGUCUUAGCUUGCUAAGGCCGAUGGCGACCGGCGCACGGGUGAGUAACACGUAUCCAACCUGCCGUCUACUCUUGGACAGCCUUCUGAAAGGAAGAUUAAUACAAGAUGGCAUCAUGAGUCCGCAUGUUCACAUGAUUAAAGGUAUUCCGGUAGACGAUGGGGAUGCGUUCCAUUAGAUAGUAGGCGGGGUAACGGCCCACCUAGUCUUCGAUGGAUAGGGGUUCUGAGAGGAAGGUCCCCCACAUUGGAACUGAGACACGGUCCAAACUCCUACGGGAGGCAGCAGUGAGGAAUAUUGGUCAAUGGGCGAGAGCCUGAACCAGCCAAGUAGCGCGAAGGAUGACUGCCCUAUGGGUUGUAAACUUCUUUUAUAAGGAAGUAAAGUAACGGGUACGGUAGGUAGUACCGUUUACCGGUUCGACUAGUUACGUUUUAACUUUAAG
rnacentral:rRNA from 1 species